AACGCACAUUGCGCCCUCUGGUAUUCCGGGGGGCACACCUGUUCGAGCGCCAUUUCAACCCUCAAGCCCCGCUUGGUGUUGGGCGGGUCCGCGGGGACCCCCCCGAAAGUCGUAGGCGCCGCCGCCCGGCCACUCGCGUAGCAGGCUAACGCACGCGCGAGGGGACGCCCGGCGACCGCCCGACCGCCCCAAGGUUGGCCUCGGAUCAGGUGGGGAUACCCGCUGAACUUAA
rnacentral:misc_RNA from 1 species